GGUUAAUCAUUUUUACUGUUAUUGUCCUGACUUGAUCAUUAUUUACUGAAAGCUACAUAAAAUAAUCAUUUAUUCUGAUAACUUGGAGGCUGGAAAAUACUUUUGAUAAAGAGGAAUACAAAUCAGAGACUGAAUGUAAUAGUUUAUGCAUUUUCACUAUAUUUGACAGGAAAAACAGAAGAAAAGCCUUGAUGCAUAAAUAGUGUGGUGUGCCAGAACUGUCAGUAAUAUGAAUGUAAGGUUGUAACAUAUGGUUGCAAAUUUCAUACAUACAGAUUUUCAUGGAAUUUUUGUAAGAACUACAACGUGAUCAAUGAUGUUUCCAAUUAUUAGUUGUGUCCAAAAUAAUUUUAUACAUUUUUUAGAAUUGAUAUGUACUAUAGAUGAUAUCUAUUAUAUGUACUAUAUGUAGAUAAAAAUGGUAAAAUUACAAUAGAAACUCCAAGGAUAUGGUGCCUAAUGAAAUCCACUUAAAUAACACCAUGAAAAAAUCUUUUUUCAAAACGUAUCAACUUUUUUAAAAAAGAAUGUAUUUAUAGUCACAUAAAGUCACCCAGGUAGUCCUACAAAGUAAAAGGUCAAGAUUAAAAGUGCCAAGGAUUA